GACGAACGCUGGCGGCGUGCCUAAUACAUGCAAGUUGAGCGCUGAAGGUUGGUACUUGUACCAACUGGAUGAGCAGCGAACGGGUGAGUAACGCGUGGGGAAUCUGCCUUUGAGCGGGGGACAACAUUUGGAAACGAAUGCUAAUACCGCAUAAAAACUUUAAACACAAGUUUUAAGUUUGAAAGAUGCAAUUGCAUCACUCAAAGAUGAUCCCGCGUUGUAUUAGCUAGUUGGUGAGGUAAAGGCUCACCAAGGCGAUGAUACAUAGCCGACCUGAGAGGGAGAUCGGCCACAAUGGGACUGAGACACGGCCCAAACUCCUAAGGGAGGCAGCAGGAGGGAAUCUUCGGAAAUGGACGAAAGGCUGACCGAGCAACGCCGCGUGAGGGAAGAAGGUUUUCGGAUCGUAAAACUCUGUUGGUAGAGAAGAACGGUGGUGAGAGUGGAAAGCUCAUCAAGUGACGGUAACUACCCAGAAAGGGACGGCUAACUACGUG
rnacentral:rRNA from 1 species